rnacentral:rRNA from 1 species
GCGGACGGGUGAGUAACACGUGGGUAACCUGCCUGUAAGACUGGGAUAACUCCGGGAAACCGGGGCUAAUACCGGAUGCUUGAUUGAACCGCAUGGUUCAAUUAUAAAAGGUGGCUUCUGCUUCCCCUUUCCGAAGGGCCCCCCGCCCCUUUACCUAUUGGGGAAGGUACCGGUCCCCCAGGGCACCAAGCCUUACCCAACC